GUGUUUUGAGAGACUUCUUUAUAGAUUAAAAAAGAUAGGAUGAUGAGCAAGGUGGUCUUUAGAAGAGUGUUGAUGAGAUCGGUUCUUUGUCUCACCUUUAUUGUGUUGAACCAACUGCUCGAAGAUUCUUGAAUACUACCGAAAAAUUCUGAGAUCUCUGUCUCUGUAUCUAUUCCAUAUAUCUGUAUGAUAACCUUUUU
rnacentral:lncRNA from 1 species